GACACAAGACUUGUUUGUUCGGAGACUCUAUGAGGGUGCCUUUAUUGAGCAGUCCUUACUCCUCAACACCCGUUUCAACAUCCGCUCUAGAAAAAACAAGAAGAAACCGAAUAAGGAGGAUGACACUCCUGCUCUGAUUUAUCUCUGUGCAACAAUGUGGCAUGAGACCUAUGAAGAAAUGAUGAAUAUCAUGAUCUCAAUUUUCAGACUGGACAAGUACAGACCAAAAACAGGACCCAAGUUUAAUGAUUUCACCUUUGAAGCCCAUAUCUACUUUGAUGACGCCUUUGAAAAUGCCAAAGGAAAUCAGGAUCGUCAUAUGAACACAUAUGCAAAGGACCUUGUGCAAAUCAUCACUGAGGU